rnacentral:rRNA from 1 species
CAAUAGCGUAUAUUAAAGUUGUUGCAGUUAAAAAGCUCGUAGUUGGAUUUCUGGUGGGAGCGAUCGGUCUGGCGCUUAGCGCGAGUACUUGCAUCGUCUCCGGCCAUCCUUGGGGAGAGUCUGUCUGGCAUUAAGUUGUCGGGCAGAGGAUCCUCAUCGUUUACUGUGAAAAAAUUAGAGUGUUCAAAGCAGGCUUAUGCCGUUGAAUAUAUUAGCGUGGAAUAAUAAGAUAGGACUUUGGUACUAUUUUGUUGGUUUGCGCACCAAAGUAAUGAUUAAUAGGGACAGUUGGGGGUAUUCGUAUUCCGUUGUCAGAGGUGAAAUUCUUGGAUUUACGGAAGACGAACUACUGCGAAAGCAUUUACCAAGGAUGUUUUCAUUAA